rnacentral:rRNA from 1 species
AGGACGAACGCUGGCGGCGUGCUUAACACAUGCAAGUCGAGCGGAAAGGCCCUUCGGGGUACUCGAGCGGCGAACGGGUGAGUAACACGUGAGUAACCUGCCCCUAGCUCUGGGAUAGCUCCGGGAAACCGGGAUUAAUACCAGAUACGACCACUUUAGACAUCUGUCGUGGUGGAAAGGAUUCCGGCUAGGGAUGGGCUCGCGGCCUAUCAGCUUGUUGGUGGGGUAACGGCCUACCAAGGCGACGACGGGUAGCCGGCCUGAGAGGGCGACCGGCCACACUGGGACUGAGACACGGCCCAGACUCCUACGGGAGGCAGCAGUGGGAAUAUUGCGCAAUGGGCGAAAGCCUGACGCAGCGACGCCGCGUGGGGGAUGAAGGCCUUCGGGUUGUAAACCCUUUCAGCAGGGACGAAGCGAAAGUGACGGUACCUGCAGAAGAAGCGCCGGCUAACUACGCGCCAGCAGCCGC